rnacentral:rRNA from 1 species
CCUACGGGUGGCAGCAGUGAGGAAUAUUGGUCAAUGGACGAAAGCCUGAACCAGCCAUGCCGCGUGCAGGAUGAAGGCUCUAUGAGUUGUAAACUGCUUUUGUACGGGAAUAAAGUGAGGAACGUGUAUCUGUUUGUAUGUACCGUACGAAUAAGGAUCGGCUAACUCCGUGCAAGCAGCCGCGGUAAUACGGAGGAUUCAAGCGUUAUCCGGAUUUAUUGGGUUUAAAGGGUGCGUAGGUGGUUGGUUAAGUUAGAGGUUAAAGUCCGUGGCUCAACUUCGGAAUUGCCUUUGAUACUGGUCGACUAGAGUAUAGUUGAGGUAGGCGGAAUGUAUGGUGUAGCGGUGAAAUGCAUAGAUAUCACGCAGAACACCGAUUGCGAAGGCAGCUUACCAAGCUACUACUGACGUUGAGGCACGAAAGCGUGGGGAGCAAACAGGAUUAGAUACCCCAGUAGUC